AUCCAAUUGACGAGUCCCAAAUAGGACGAAACGCGCGUCCAACUUGAU
rfam:Schistosoma rodhaini strain Burundi genome assembly, scaffold: SROB_scaffold0000674